CUCCCUGCACACGGAAGGCUGUGUCAAAUGAAAGUGAAAGUAGAUGCACAGAGCUGGGUGUGAGUGGGGGGAGGCAGAUCGGUGACACUCGGGCCCCAUGGCCCCCCCAACAAUGCAGAGGAGGCCCCGAUACAGCCGGACACAUCCCUUAAUCUUGUGGGUUCUGCUGAUCUCUCUCUCACUGCCGGGAACAGAUUCUCUGGGGGUUGAAACAAGUGACGUUCCCAUUAAAUCCCUGAGGAACCAGGAAGUAUUUAUCCCAUGUACAGUAACGGAUUAUGGUGCUGGGGAUCUGGAUCCAAAGCUUCUCUCUGUUCAGUGGACAAAGACAACCUUGGGUGGAACCAAAGAACAAGUUUAUAUUUUUUCAUCUGGGACUCCCACCCCCACCCGGCCCGGAUCCUACAUAUCAGACCGGGACCUUAUAACCGGCAAUGUGGGGCUUCACUUACCCCGGGUUCAGUUCACAGAUGAAGGAGAAUAUACCUGCACUGUCAUUUAUACCCCUAAUAAAGCCGUGGGAAGUCUGUUCUGCAGGUAGCGGUGCAACCAACAGGCAGUUUGCAGUCUGUUCCAAGUAGCGUCCUGCUUGGAACAGAGAAGACAGUUCAAUGCGCAGUCGGUGGGUUUUACCCCAAAGAUAUAACAAUUCAAUGGAUGAAAUGGCUCAGUGAGACCAACUGCAUCUCGCUGGAUAAGGGAAGCUGCACGGGGGAAACGUCUGGGAAUGGGGACGGGACAUUCAACGUCACAAGUCAGCUCUCCAUAAAGCCUUCCCUGGAGGAUGAUGGGAGAAGGUAUUAUUGUAUCAUUAAGCACCGGUCCCUGGAUACAGAACUGAAAUUGGAUUUCACUCUCUCAGUAACAGAGCCCCCCCCUGAAGAUAAGACGACUGCCCCAGUUGUGAUUACAGUAUGCGUUUUACUAAUAACUCUAGGUCUCUUCUACUUUCUCUACUGGAAAUUCCUUAAGAAAGAACCCCCCAAACUCUCUCCCAUUACCGGAGCGGAACAUUUGGUGCAUAUGAACGAGGCGACUCUCUCCUGCCCGAUCUCUGGUUUCCGACCCAAACCCAUCAGAAUUACAUUGUGGUUGCAAAGAAAAGGGGGAGAAGUGAUGGAAAUUGACUCCUGGGAUUCUGAGGCCCAAACUGGUUCCGCUGCCCCAGUGGCGCAUCACAGAGAUGAGCAGCGUGUGAUUAUUGCGCCAGAGAGAGAGGGGUUAAUGGGAAAUGGGAAUGUGCAGAAUCUGCCCCUGGCACAGAGGGCGCUGCGAGUGGAAAUGGUUCCUGUAAUAACAACAAGUAAAUCUCAGCGACUUUCCAACUGUCAGUGCACAAUCCGUAUAACCCCCGACAUAGAGGAAGAUGAUGGGGCAGAACUGACUGUGAGGGUCACUCACUCUGCCCUGAGGGGCCCCAUCUCUAAGUCCUGUUGGCUGGAGGUCAGGGGAGUUAAACCCAAACUAUCAAAGAUCGUAUUCCCGCUCCGUAUCCUCCAUGAAGAACCCGUGACUCUGACCUGCCCCAUCAAUGGGUUCAAGCCAAAGCCGCUCUCUGUUACUUGGCUGAAAGUGGAUCCAAUGGGUCGGGAAACAGAACUUCUGUGCUGGGAUCGGGGUUCAACCGACAUCCGUGAUCCCCAAUAUUCCCAUCAGCUGGCGGAGAAUGAGAGAGAACAUAGAGAAGAAGAAGACAACGAUCACAUUAACUAUUUCCUAAGCAACGUGACCCUGAAGCCCACAGUGAGGGGGGAUCACGGGGCUCAGUACGUCUGUAGGACUCACCAUUACGCCACAGGGGAAAGGGCAGAGAAACGUAUGGAAAUGCAGGUUUUAGCUGUCCCAGAGUUGGGCCCCAUACAGUCAGCCCCAGAGAUUCUAUACGUUGGGGAAGAGAUGACGUUAUCCUGCAGAAUCCAUUCCUCCCACCCAGAACCCCGGGGAGUUCGCUGGUAUAAGGAGGGUGAGCGCUUGGGAUCACACAAUGACCCAAUACUCCCUAAUGCCAGCGGGUUGUUCCAUGGUACCAGCCGUGCCACAUACAGGCCCAGUGUGAGGGACAUUGGGAAGAGCUUCUGGUGUGAGGUCUCUCAUGAGAGUCUCCAACAUCCUAAAUGUGUUUCCUGGGAACUGAAACAUCUGAUAAGUGAGCCGAGGGUAAGUGAUAUAGAGUGUCACCCUGAGGCCCCUGAGUGCAACCAACCUGCAACCUUAUCCUGCGCUAUAGAGAAUUAUUAUCCUAAAGUCCUCACCAUCCAAUGGUAUCGGGGGCUGGAACCCAUCUCUCCUCAUAAUGAUCCAGCAGCCGCCAAGGAAGACCCGGAAUCAGGACUUUUCUCCAGAACCUCAGAAAUACAGAUCAUUCCCACUAUUACUGACCAUGGGACAGAAUUCUACUUGGAAAUAACUCACGGCACAAAGAUCACCAAGAAGACGAUCUGUAUGAGCCUAAAAGGGCUGCCGGUGGUUAAAGAGAUAACUUGCAAUAAGUACCCCCCAAAAUAUGGAGAAGCCCUAACCCUAAGCUGCGAGGUGAUUGGAUGCAGCGCCCGAGACAUCACAGCGGAAUGGCGAGAGGGCAAUAAUCCCAUAAAGAGAGAAAUGGAAGCAAAGACCCAAAUAGAUAGAGAUUCGGUCACAUUCCUCCUCACACUGACGCCCACAGCAGAGCAUCAUGGGAAAUUAUUCACCUGCCUGAUAAAGCACAAGGACCUACCCCAGCCCAUUAGGAAGAUUAUCUGCCUGAAGCUGCUGGCUGAAGCAGUUGGAGAAAAGAAGGAACUAGAACCCCCAGUGGAUACAGCAGAGGAGCCCCAAGUGGGGGAGAUUGAGUGUGUGACCCCCCCCAGCCCCAGGGAGGGAGAGGCCGUUACCCUUCAGUGCAUCAUUAGAGGGCAAGAUGUGCAACAUGGAGACUUCUCCUGGAGUGACGGGAUGUUCCCCAUUGAUGAAAGCCAAAUAGACAACUCCAACCUCCCUGAUGGCUCCGGCUGUAUCUCCAGGGUCACCUUCACUCCUGAUGAUGGGCAAAUCAGCUUUGAGGCCACGUUUAACAUAGUAACCACGGAGAGAACCUACCAACUCCCAUGGGUGUGAGACUUGUUAUGGGCUACUGGCACCUUCCAGUAUCUCUAUGGCACAAAGUGCUGCAAUGAAACAAACUGUUCCUUUGGGAGAACAGAUGGUGCAAGUACAAUGUACAGGACUGCAGUUCCAUGAACCUGUUUGUGGGAAUGGGGGUGACUAACAGAUUUUGCACCUAAACAGACACCUCAAAAGCCCAAUUUUUACACCAAAUAUAACAGGGCUGCAGCAUUGAGUGCGUAAUACAUAAACACUGGAAUGUGUUUCUUUAUUACGCACUCAAUGCUGCAGCCGAUCCCCAACCCCAACUUCUAAAGCAGCGAUCCCCAACCCCAACUUCUAAAGCAGUGAUCCCCAACCCCAACUUCUAAAGCAGCGAUCCCCAACCCCAACUUCUAAAGCAGCGAUGCCCAACUUCUAAAGCAGCGAUCCCCAACUUCUAAAGCAGCGAUCCCCAACCCCAACUUCUAAAGCAGCGAUCCCCAACCCCAACUUCUAAAGCAGCGAUCCCCAACCCCAACUUCUAAAGCAGCGAUCCCCAACCCCAACUUCUAAAGCAGCGAUGCCCAACUUCUAAAGCAGCGAUCCCCAACUUCUAAAGCAGCGAUCCCCAACCCCAACUUCUAAAGCAGCGAUCCCCAACCCCAACUUCUAAAGCAGCGAUCCCCAACCCCAACUUCUAAAGCAGCGAUCCCCAACCCCAACUUCUAAAGCAAUAAUCCCCAACCCCAACUUCUAAAGCAGCGAUCCCCAACCCCAACUUCUAAAGCAGCGAUCCCCAACCCCAACUUCUAAAGCAGCGAUCCCCAACCCCAACUUCUAAAGCAGCGAUGCCCAACUUCUAAAGCAGCGAUGCCCAACUUCUAAAGCAGCGAUCCCCAACUUCUAAAGCAGCGAUCCCCAACCCCAACUUCUAAAGCAGCGAUCCCCAACCCCAACUUCUAAAGCAGCGAUCCCCAACCCCAACUUCUAAAGCAGCGAUCCCCAACCCCAACUUCUAAAGCAAUAAUCCCCAACCCCAACUUCUAAAGCAGCGAUCCCCAACCCCAACUUCUAAAGCAGCGAUCCCCAACCCCAACUUCUAAAGCAGCGAUCCCCAACUUCUAAAGCAAUGAUCCCCAACCCCAACUU